GUUGUUCUAGUCAACGGGAAGAGCAUGAGCACAGUUACAGCUGGUGUAAAGAGCAGCAUCUCAACCUUGAAGCCAUCUUUUGCUUCUUCUUUACGCUCUCGUCGCGUCUCAUUUCCACUCUUUUCUCCUCGUUCCGCUCUCCGCUUCUCCGGCUUGUCAGAGAAUAUGGAUUGCGGUGAUGGUGGUCCAUGCGUGUUUCCUUUGCACCGUUGCAAAACCAUUCAUCUGGUCAGGCACGGACAGGGGAUCCACAAUGUGGAGGGAGAUAAGAACUACGACGCAUACAUGAAGUCUGAAUAUUUUGAUGCGCAUAUUACGCCGUUGGGCUGGCAAGAGGUUGACAAUUUGCGAAAGCAUGUACGUGAUUCUGGUAUUAUGAAGAAGAUUGAUCUAGUCAUAGUAUCUCCUUUAUUGAGGACACUACAAACUGCUGUUGGAGUGUUUGGAGGUGAGGGCUACACAGAUAGAACAGAUGUGCUACCUCUUAUGGUGGAAAACGCAGGAAACAGCAAUCGUGCUGCAAUUUCGAGUCUGAAUUGCCCUCCUAUUGUUGCUUUUGAACUUUGUCGGGAACGUAUGGGGGUUCAUCCCUGCGACAAAAGAAGAAGCAUCAGCGAGUAUCAAUCUCUAUUUCCUGCAAUUGAUUUUUCACUGGUCGACAGUAAUGAGGAUACUUGGUGGAAGACCGAUGUUAGAGAGACAAAAGAAGAAAUUGCAUCUAGAGGGCUGAAGUUCAUGAACUGGUUGGGGACAAGAAAAGAGAAGGAGAUGGCAAUUGUGACGCACAGAGCAUUUUUGUUUCAUACUCUAGGUGCUUUUGGAAAUUACAGCCAUCACUUGGAGAAGAAGGAAUUAUCAAAGCCCGGUAUGAAAUAAUUGUCUGCUUUUAACAAUUAUUUGCAGCUUUUCCAACUGUGAGCUUCGCUCUGUGGUCAUUGUUGAUCGUGUGACAGGAUAGAUGCCCUAACCACAGCAAUUCAGACAAGAGACCUUCAGGAUGCUUAAAAGGUUCUGUAGAAAUUUUCGUUUUACUCGGAAUAUGCGGCAUAUGUAUUUUAUAUUUCACAAAUUAUGCUUAAAAUUGCUUAUGGAAUACUUGUCCAACCAACUCAUUAUUAAAUGAAUCUGAGUUAUGACAAUUUACUGUGA